CCUACGGGCGGCAGCAGUGGGGAAUAUUGGACAAUGGGGGGAACCCUGAUCCAGCCAUGCCGCGUGUGUGAAGAAGGCCCUCGGGUUGUAAAGCACUUUCAGUGAGGAAGAACGCCUGGUGGUUAAUACCCAUCAGGAAAGACAUCACUCACAGAAGAAGCACCGGCUAACUCCGUGCCAGCAGCCGCGGUAAUACGGAGGGUGCGAGCGUUAAUCGGAAUUACUGGGCGUAAAGCGCGCGUAGGUGGCUUGAUAAGCCGGUUGUGAAAGCCCCGGGCUCAACCUGGGAACGGCAUCCGGAACUGUCAAGUUAGAGUGCAGGAGAGGAAGGUAGAAUUCCCGGUGUAGCGGUGAAAUGCGUAGAGAUCGGGAGGAAUACCAGUGGCGAAGGCGGCCUUCUGGACUGACACUGACACUGAGGUGCGAAAGCGUGGGUAGCAAACAGGAUUAGAUACCCUAGUAGUC
rnacentral:rRNA from 1 species